rnacentral:sRNA from 1 species
AUUUGUUGAGGACAAAUAAAGUGGAUAUGCGCAUCCACGCCACCAGGUGUCAUAAUCAAACCCUCCCCCGCUAUCACCUCAGUGCCGGGUCCAAUGAUGAUUGUGACGUUAUCCUGAAUAUCGGGAUUACCAGCCUUACCAAUAGCUGCGAUUCUCCCAUGCUUUAGGCCAACAUCCGCUUUAACAAUACCCCAAUAAUCUAAAAUCAGAGCAUUUGUGAUUACUGAGUCGACAGAAUCACUACAACUGCAUUGGCUUUGCCCCAUCCCAUCUCG